AGAGGCCCUAGUUGAUAGCCGUCGGCGUAAAGAGUGGUUAAGGAAUUUAAAUUUAUAAAGUUGAAUAACCCUUUAGCUGUUAUACGCACCUUGGGCUAUGAAAUUCUUCCGCGAAAGCAGCUUUAUGCCCCCUGAACCCACGACAGUUAUGACACAAACUGGGAUUAGAUACCCCACUAUGCAUAACUAUAAACUUUGAUAAAAAUUUACAUCUUACAUCCGCCAGGGAACUACAAGCGUAA
rnacentral:rRNA from 1 species